rnacentral:rRNA from 1 species
UCCUACGGGGGGCAGCAGUUAGGAAUAUUCGUCAAUGGGGGAAACCCUGAACGAGCAAUGCCGCGUGAGUGAUGAAGGUCCUUUGGAUUGUAAAAUUCUGUUGUAUGGGAAGAACGACCAGACUAGGAAAUGAGUUUGGAGUGACGGUACCAUGCCAGAAAGCUCCGGCUAACUACGUGCCAGCAGCCGCGGUAAUACGUAGGGAGCGAGCGUUAUCCGGAUUUAUUGGGCGUAAAGGGUGCGUAGGCGGCUUGUUAAGUAUGAAAUUAAAGCCCGGGGCUUAACUCCGGUUCGUUUCAUAAACU